UCAAGUGCCUGCUCUUUCACUCAUUUCUCAUACAGUAUUGCUAAGGGUUGGUAGAUUUGCCAUACAUCUACUUCCAUGCAUCUACCUUCCACAUCAACAUUCUGGCUGACAGGCUGAACUUCAUACAUUAUGGGAUUAUUGUGAAAUUCACCCUAUUUUUUUGUGCGUGCAGUCUGAUGGAGGCCAGAGACAUCAGAUUCCCUGGAACUGGAGUUACAAGCAGUUGUGAGCUGCCUGACAUGGGGACUUAGAGCAAAACUCCCUCUCCUACAAGAGUGGCAAGAACUCUUAACCUGAAGUGUGUCUCCAACAUGGGUCUCUUCUUCAGCCUGGAGCUCCCUGAUUUGGAUACAGCAACUGGAAAAUGAGGUCCAGGAGUCUGCCUAUCUCUGCCUCCCCACUGCUGGAACUGCAGAAGCACUUUUGUUCUCUGAAACAUGUUUCUUGAAAUCUAUUACCUGCCCCUUCACUGCACACCAAAUGUGCAGACAUAGUCAGAAAGCAUAUCCCGAUGAAAGACGGGCAGAUAGACUCUUUAUUUACAUGUUCCUAAAUGAAAUUAUAUUUCUAUAAAAACCGGAAUGGCAGAUAUUGAGGGUCAGUGAGUUUCCUUGGCUUGCCCAGCUUGCUUUCUCUCCCUUUCCAGUGCUUAUGCAACUGUUUUAAGGUCAAUUUUAAUAAAAAAUUAAAUUUUAAA